GCACCCAUAGCUCAGCUGGAUAGAGCGUUGCCCUCCGAAGGCAAAGGUCAGAGGUUCAAAUCCUCUUGGGUGCGCCA
rnacentral:tRNA from 3 species